AGUGGGAAACUCUUGUUUGGCUUGGAAGCAAUGGCUUUUGUUUCUCAUGGUUCUAGCCCUGAUGAGGAGUCUGGAACGAAUGCAAUAGAGAAGCAAUGGAGAUGAAUGAUUUGUUUUGGAUGGUGAUCCUGAUAAGGCAGCAAUUGAGAUGAAUCUGAGGAUUUGAUUGUCAUCAGAGUAAAGGUGAAGUGCCAUUGUCGUUCUGCCGAUAAAAUUUCCGUUUGGAGAAGUUGAGAGAAAAACUUCCAAGCAGAGAAACCCGGCAAAUCUAGAUUUACAGUCUUUAUGAAGUUACUGAUACUACAUACAUCAUCAUUAGAGCAACAAGAUCCAUUCACAACACUUAACCUCAAACAUCAGGGCUAUUCCAUGUUUUUAACACUUCAUCAAGCAAUCUAUCCUUUGUUUAUGCAAGAUUCAACCACAGCACUUGCUCUUACAACAGGUACAAUUCCAUGUACUAAUACUACUACAUUUUAUGAUUUGAUCAUAUGUUAAUCAUGUAUCAUCAUCAGGAUGAUACAUACUCACAGAAAAUUAAUUUU